CUCCAACGAAAAUUGUUUUAUAAAUUAGAGAGAACCAAAGGGGGACAGGUUAUAAUGGGCAACAACUUUGCAUGUAAAGUGAGUGAAAUUGGGACUGUCAAAUUAUUAUUAGAAAAUGAUAAUAUUUUGUUCCUAGAGAACACAAGACAUGUCCCAAAUUUGAAAAGGAACUUAGUGUCCUUAGGAAUGUUAGAUGACAAGGAGUUUAACAUACUUAUAGGUCAAGGACAUAUAAAAUUUUUUUGCGGAAAUGACUUGGUCACCUCAACCCCUAAGAGACAUGGUCUUUAUUGUCUGAAUACAAAACCUUUGCUUGGAUUAACUACUUCUGUUGUAUUUGAAAAGUUUACUUUGGCGAAACUGUGGCAUGAAAGGCUUGGUCAUAUUGGUAAAAAGGGUUUAAAUAUUUUGCAAUCAAAAGGUGUUUUGGGAAAACAUAAUCGUGGUAAUUUUGGCUCUUGUGAACACUGUAUUUUGGGAAAGCAAGCCAAACUUCCUUUUCAAAGUGGAAUUCAUAAAUUCAAGCAAAGACUUGAGUACUUGCAUGCUAAUCUGUGGGGUCCUACUUCUGUCUCUACUUUAAUUGGUUUUAAAUAUUUUUUGCUAAUAGUUGAUGAUUUCUCAAGGAAAAUUUGGGUUCAUCUACUAAAGUCUAAAGAUGAGACAUUUUUUGCUUUUAAGGACUGGAAAAUCCAAGUUGAAAAUCAGGUUGAUCUUAAAAUAAAAUAUUUAAGAACUAAUAAUGACUUGGAAUUUUGCAAUUAUGAAUUUCAUAAUCUUUGUAAGGAAUAUGGUAUCAUGAGACAUAAAAUUGUUCCACACACACCACAACAAAAUGUAAUGACUGAAAGAAUGAAUAGAACUGUGUUGAAUAAAGUUAGAUGCAUGCUAUUAAGCUCUGGACUGCCUAAAAUGUUUUGGGGAGAAGCAAUUAAAACUGCAACUUAUUUGAUUAAUAGGGGUCCUACUAAUGCUUUAAACUUUGCUGUUCCUGAAUAUGUGUGGUCAAAUAGUCCUGUAUACUACUCUUAUCUGAAAAUAUUUGGCUGUGCUGCUUAUGCUCAUCAAAAUGUUGGUAAAUUAGAACUAAGAUCAUUAAAGUGUGUUUUCUUGGGUUAUGAUGAACAUGUUAAAGGGUACAGAUUAUGGGUUAACUCUGAAAAAGGUUAUAGAGUAAUAAUUAGAAAUGAUGUAGUCUUCAAUGAAUUCUUGAUGCCAUGUCUUGAAGGAAAAGAAAAUGCCUUGGCUGAAAAAGAUGUUCAAAUUGAGGUGGAGCCCUCCUGCAGUAACCAGAACAUUUCUGUAACUACUGCAGAAGAAAAUGAAAAUGGAGAACAUGUUAUUUUACUUGAAAUUGAAGUUGAAACUGAAUAUGUUGAAGAGGCUGAUUCUGC
rnacentral:lncRNA from 1 species